rnacentral:rRNA from 2 species
UUAAAUUGAAGAGUUUGAUCAUGGCUCAGAUUGAACGCUGGCGGCAGGCCUAACACAUGCAAGUCGAGCGGAAACGAGUUAU